rnacentral:lncRNA from 1 species
GACAAUAAGACCGCCAAGAACGAUUCAAGCUCCUCGGAGGGGCAUGUUUCCUUGUUUAUCCACAGAGGCUGGCACAGUCAAUCUGGGCUUCCCCUCCCUUUCUUUAAGGUCGUGCCUAGGAGCUGUGCAACGCCAGCCCUUGAGGAGGAAGCCAUCUGUUUCUGGAAUCACCCUCCCCGCCACGUAUAUGAGACAUAUCCUUGAUUGUCCGUGAAAUCAGGUGGUCCAGGGCCAGGUUGGUCCAUAGAGGUAGGUGUAAGACAUCCUCUGCUCCUGCCCAAGGGUCUCCUCGUAUCUGGAAGCUCUUUCUGCUGCUUGGUUUGGUACCUAUCAUGGGAGUUUUCGUGAUCCUUGCACACCACCAUCCCUCUCUGGAGUCUCACUGCCCUCCCAGGGACCCUGAGCAAGACGCAGGGCUGUCUCGGAUUUACAGAGGUCUGUCCUAUCCCCAUCUUUUCCCUUCCCUUCCCUUCCCUUCCCUUCCCUUCCCUUCCCUUCCCUCCCCUCCCCUCUCCUGAGGAUAUAAAAUAACUGAAUAGACUUACAAAAUGUCUAAAUGAUGGUUCAGUAUGGUAAAGCUGUAAAUUCCAUCCAAAUGAAUUUAGGAAUUUAAUGCGAUUGCAAUCAAAAUUUCAGAGAGUUUUUUUCCCCAUAGAUGUUGACAAAACAAUGUAAAAGUUCAUCUAGAGAACUGAGUACUUAAGGAACUAUCACAAAAGAAGAAUGAGAGGGAAUGUCCACUGCCAGACACCAAAAUGUGUUCUAAGGUGAAAGUGUUAAAACAGCAUGUUGCUAGUGCCACUCCAGGCAAAAUCCUCAAGUGCUCUAAGGGCUUGGGCAAGUACCUUGCUCUAAGAUAGCCCUGACUUUGUGAGCUGCCUAAAGGCAUGAAAAUUCACAAUAUUCAAACACACUUCUGACAAAAACCAAAACAAGAUCAAAAACACAUCUGGAGCCCUGAAAUGGGGUACAGGGACCCAGUUUAUGAUCCUUGACACAAUAAACAGAAUAGAAAAUCCAGAAAGAGUCUCAAGUUUCUAUAGGAAUGCAUUAUAUGCUAUUACGGCAUAUCCCAGUGGGGAAAGUAUAGAUUAUGCCACAAAUGGUGCUGGGAUAACUAGCUAAUUAUUUGGAAAAAAGAAACACAUAUAGAAAUCAAAUUCCAGAUGGGUUUAUUUAAAUGGGAAAUUAAAUGUUCAAUGUGAAAAUUCAUUAUGUAGCAGGAUAUUCAAUGGGAAUGAUACUUUUUUGGUUUUUUUGCCAAUGGUGAGAGACCUGCCAGAACACAGCCUUGAUCUCGCAAGUCAUAUGUGAGUCUCUGAAGACUUUACAAGUCUAAUUUACAAGUUUAAAUUCCAACCCAAAGCGUAGAGAGUCUUCAUUUCCCUGCAUCCUCACUGCUGUGAACUGAAUCUGUGUGCCCCCUCAAAAUUCAUAUGUUGAAACCCUGUCUUAGUCCGUUUUCAUGCUGCUGAUAAAGACAUCCAAGUCUGAAAAGAAAAAGAGGUUUAAUUGGACUUACAGUUCCACAUGGCUGGGAGGCCUGAGUCAUGGCGGGAGGUGACAGGCACUUCUUACAUGGUGGUGGCAGGAGAAAAUGAAAGGGAAGCAAGAGUGGAAACUCCUGAUAAACCCAUCAGAUCUGCUGAGACUUAUUCACUAUCAGGAGAAUAGCACAGGAAAGACCAGCUGCCACAAUUCAAUUACCUCUGCCUGGGUCCCUCUCAUGACAUGUGGGAAUUCUGGGAGAUACAAUUCAAGUUGAGAUUUGCAUGGGGACACAGACAAACCAUAUCAAACCCUAAUCUCCAAUAUAAUUGUACUUGGAUAUAGAGCCUUUGGGAUGUAUUAGCUCCUAAGGGUGGUACCCUCAUGAUAGCUUUAGUGCCCUUUUAACAAAAGAGACAGCUUGCUUUCUCUCUCUUUGCUCUCUGCCAUGUGAGGGAGCAACAGGAAGACAGCCAUCUGCAAACCAGCAAGCUGACUUUCAGCAGAUGCUGCUUCUCCUGGCACCUUGAUCUUGGACUUCCUGGCCUCUAGAACUAUGAGAAAGAAAUGUUUAAGAUUUCCAGUCUGCAAACCAGCAAAUGGGCCCUCACCAGACACUGCCUGUCCUGGCACCUUGAUCUUGGACUUCUCAGCCUCCAGAAAUGUGAGAAAGAAAUGUUUUAAGUUUCCCAGUCUAUGAGAAUUUGUUAGAACAGAACAAACUGACUAAGACACUCACUAACAUGGUAUAUUACCAAUCUCUUAAAUUUUGCCAGUCUGAUAGGUGAAGUUACUCAUCUUUAUACAGCCAUUUCUUCUUCUGUGAGUCUCCUGUUCAUGUUUCAUGCGCAUUUUAAACAUCAAGUUGCUUUGCAUUUUUAUUGAUUUAUAGAAGGUCUUUAUGUAUUCUGGAAAGUAAUCCUGUAUUUUUCAUGCUUACUGCUACUCAUCCUAAUACUUUUGAGUGGAUUGGUUGGACCCUCAUUGGAUGCAGCAAGGGACAGGAAGGCAACUCAGGCAGCAAUCCAUGGCAGGCUGACCAAUAGCCAGUCACACAGGCAGAUUCACCAAGUCAGCAGAAGAAUUAGCUUUCCCUCCUUCUAGGCUUGGGAUUCUCUAACAGCAGAGAUGGCACUAAACAGGAGAUGUGGGCAAUAUUUGGUCUGUUUACCCUGUGACUACAUCAUUGGCAGAUAGAUACAACAGACCUGCAGUCCCCAAGAAUGUUUUGAAUUUUUUUUUUUUUUGAGACAGGGUCCUGCUCUGUUGCCCAGGCUGGAGUGCAGUGGUAUGAUCACGGCUCAUGCAGCCUCGACCUCCCAGGCCCAAGCAAUCCUCCCACCUCAGCCUCCUGGGUAGCUGGGACUGCAGGUGUGCACCACCACACCUGGCUAAGUUUCGUAUUUUUUUUUUUUGAGAUGGAGUCUCGCUCUGUCACACCCAGGCUGGAGUGCAGUGGAGUGAUCUAGGCUCACUGCCACCUCUACCUCCCAGGUUCAAGUGAUUCUCCUGCCUCAGCCUCCUGAGUAGCUGGGACUACAGGCGCAUGCCACUAUGCCCGGCUAAUUUUUUGUAUUUUUUUUUGUAGAGACAGGGUUUCACCAUGUCAGCCAGGAUGGUUUCGAUCUCCUGAUCUUGUGAUCUGCCCACCUCGGCCUCCCAAAGUGCUGGGAUUACAGGCUUGAGCCACCGUGCCAGGCCCAGUUUUGUAUUUUUAUAGAGGUGUGUUUCGCCAUGUUGCCCAGGCUGCUCUUGAACUUCUGGGCUCAAACCAUCUGCCCACCUGGGCCUCCCAAAGUGCUGAAAUGACAGGCAUGAGCCACUGUGCCUGGCCAUCCCAAGAAUGUUUGGAGUGUUCAGGGUCAGUGCAGACUCUUGUUAACUCCCUAAGUUCAUCCCAUUAUAAGUUCACCCCUGGACAUUGCACAAACGCUUCUCAAAUUCCUCCCAGAUCUUACUUGCCUCAUU